rnacentral:rRNA from 1 species
UAAGACGUAGGGGACGAGCGUUGUCCGGAUUCAUUGGGCGUAAAGCGCGCGUAGGCGGUUCGGUAAGUCGGAUGUGAAAACACGAGGCUCAACCUCGUGCGUGCAUCCGAUACUGUCGGACUAGAGGUAGGUAGGGGAGAUCGGAAUUCCUGGUGUAGCGGUGAAAUGCGCAGAUAUCAGGAGGAACACCGGUGGCGAAGGCGGAUCUCUGGGCCUUACCUGACGCUGAGGCGCGAAAGCUAGGGGAGCAAACAGGAUUAGAUACCCUGGUAGUCCUAGCCGUAAACGUUGGGUGCUAGGUGUGGGCGGAAAUCGACCCCGUCCGUGCCGAAGCUAACGCAUUAAGCACCCCGCCUGGGGAGUACGGCCGCAAGGCUA